rnacentral:rRNA from 1 species
GCCCGUACCGUAAACCGACACAGGUGGGUGGGAUGAGUAUUCUAAGGCGCGUGGAAGAACUCUCUUUAAGGAACUCUGCAAAAUAGCACCGUAUCUUCGGUAUAAGGUGUGCCUAGCUUCGUUAAGAAUUUACUUCGUAAGCGAAGAAGGUUACAACAAAGAGUCCCUCCCGACUGUUUACCAUAAACACAGCACUCUGCUAACUCGUAAGAGGAUGUAUAGGGUGUGACGCCUGCCCGGUGCUCGAAGGUUAAUUGAUGAUGUUAGCUUACGCAAAGCAUCUGAUCGAAGCCCGAGUAAACGGCGGCCGUAACUAUAACGGUCCUAAGGUAGCGAAAUUCCUUGUCGGUUAAAUACCGACCUGCAUGAAUGGCGUAACGAGAUGGGAGCUGUCUCAAAGAGGGAUCCAGUGAAAUUGUAGUGGAGGUGAAAAUUCCUCCUACCCGCGGCAAGACGGAAAGACCCCGUGGACCUUUACUAUAGCUUGACACUGCUACUUGGAUAAAGAUGCGCAGGAUAGGUGGGAGGCUUUGAGUCGUAGAUCUCGGUUUACGAUGAGCCAUUGUUGAGAUACCACUCUUCUUUAUUCGGGUAGCUAACUAGCCUAAGUUAUCCUUAGGUAGGACAAUGUCUGGUGGGUAGUUUGACUGGGGCGGUCGCCUCCCAAAAUGUAACGGAGGCUUACAAAGGUUGGCUCAAAGCGGUUGGAAAUCGCUUGCAGAGUAUAAAGGCAAAAGCCAGCUUAACUGCGAGACAUACACGUCGAGCAGAGACGAAAGUCGGUCUUAGUGAUCCGGUGGUUCUGUGUGGAAGGGCCAUCGCUCAAAGGAUAAAAGGUACCCCGGGGAUAACAGGCUGAUCUCCCCCAAGAGCUCACAUCGACGGGGAGGUUUGGCACCUCGAUGUCGGCUCAUCGCAUCCUGGGGCUGUAGUCGGUCCCAAGGGUUGGGCUGUUCGCCCAUUAAAGCGGUACGCGAGCUGGGUUCAGAACGUCGUGAGACAGUUCGGUCCCUAUCUGCCGUGGGCGUAAGAAGAUUGAGGAGAGUUGACCCUAGUACGAGAGGACCGGGUUGAACCGACCACUGGUGUACCGGUUGUUCUGCCAAGAGCACCGCCGGGUAGCUAAGUCGGGAUGCGAUAAGAGCUGAAAGCAUCUAAGCUCGAAGCCGACUCCAAGAUGAAUCUUCUUUUAAGAGCUCUAGUAGACUACUAGUUUGAUAGGCCGGAUGUGUAAUGGAUGAAAGUCCUUUAGCUGACCGGUACUAAUAGCUCGUUUGCUUAUCUUU